rnacentral:rRNA from 1 species
UGGGGAAUAUUGGACAAUGGGGGCAACCCUGAUCCAGCGAUGCCGCGUGUGUGAAGAAGGCCUGCGGGUUGUAAAGCACUUUAGUUGGGGAGGAAAGGUAUGUACUGCAUAAGUGCAUGCUGUGACGUUACCCAAAGAAUAAGCACCGGCAAACUCUGUGCCAGCAGCCGCGGUAAUACAGAGGGUGCAAGCGUUAAUCGGACUUACUGGGCGUAAAGGGUGCGUAGGUUGUUUGAUAAGAUAUAUGUGAAAUACCUGGGCUCAACCUGGGAAGGUCAUAUAAGACUGUCAGACUCGAGUAUGGGAGAGGGUAGAGGAAUUUCCGGUGUAGCGGUGAAAUGCGUAGAUAUCGGAAGGAACAUCGGUGGCGAAGGCGGCUCUCUGGACUCAAACUGACGCUGAGGCACGAAAGCGUGGGUAGCGAACAGGAUUAGAUACCCUCGUAGUCCCUGAGCGGGCUGGCAAGGCGCAU